rnacentral:rRNA from 1 species
AGUGAACGCUGGCGGUAGGCCUAACACAUGCAAGUCGAACGGCAGCACAGUAAGAGCUUGCUCUUACGGGUGGCGAGUGGCGGACGGGUGAGGAAUACAUCGGAAUCUACUUUUUCGUGGGGGAUAACGUAGGGAAACUUACGCUAAUACCGCAUACGACCUACGGGUGAAAGCAGGGGAUCUUCGGACCUUGCGCGAUUGAAUGAGCCGAUGUCGGAUUAGCUAGUUGGCGGGGUAAAGACCCACCAAGGCGACGAUCCGUAGCUGGUCUGAGAGGAUGAUCAGCCACACUGGAACUGAGACACGGACCAGACUCCUACGGGAGGCAGCAGUGGGGAAUAUUGGACAAUGGGCGCAAGCCUGGUCCAGCCAUACCGCGUGGGUGAAGGAAACCUUCGGGUUGUAAAGCCCUUUUGUUGGGAAAGAAAAGCAGCAGGUUAAUACCCCGCUGUUCUGACGGUACCCAAAGAAUAAGCACCGGCUAACUUCGUG